GGGAAAGUGGCUCAGUGGUAGAGCGCUUGCUUUGCAUGCAUGAGACCCUGGGUUCGAUUCCUCAGCACCA
rnacentral:tRNA from 1 species